AAACCAACAGGGAUUGCCUCAGUAACGGCGAGUGAAGCGGCAAAAGCUCAAAUUUGAAAUCUAGUACCUUCGGUGCUCGAGUUGUAAUUUGAAGAUGGCGACUUUGGGAGUGGCCUUUAUCUAUGUUCCUUGGAACAGGACGUCACAGAGGGUGAGAAUCCCGUCUGAUGAGGUGAUCCACUCCUUUGUAAAGUGCUAUCGAAGAGUCGAGUUGUUUGGGAAUGCAGCUCUAAGUGGGUGGUAAAUUCCAUCUAAAGCUAAAUAUUGGCGAGAGACCGAUAGCGAACAAGUACAGUGAUGGAAAGAUGAAAAGAACUUUGAAAAGAGAGUGAAAAAGUACGUGAAAUUGUUGAAAGGGAAGGGUAUUAGAUCAGACUUGGCGUUGUGUGAUUAUCUUCCCCUUGUGGGUUGUGCACUCGUGCUUCGCUGGGCCAGCAUCGAUUCGUGUGGCAGGAUAAUAGCAUUGGAACGUGGCUGCGCUUCUGUGUAGUGUUAUAGCCUUUGUUGAUACUGCCUAUGUGGAUCGAGGACUGCGUCUUUUGACUAGGAUGCUGGCGUAAUGAUCUAAUAUCGC
rnacentral:rRNA from 1 species